GCCUGGGUGGCUCAGUCGGUUGAGCAUCUGACUCGAUUUUGGCUCAGGUCAUGAUCCCAGGGUCAUGGGUUCGAGCCUCAUGUCAGGCU
rnacentral:tRNA from 1 species